UCUUUUUCCUUUAUCACCUCACGUUCUCAGGCUUCUGUUAGGUGUUAAGUUAAGUUAAGUUAAGAGUCUGCGACUCGCCGACUCUAGACUUGAAAUCAAAUUUGAUUCUGUCGAAGGUGUUAUUAAGCUUUGCAGAUACUGCGGAAGGAUCCAGAAAGCCUGCAGGUUGUUUGUAGGAUUUACAUUUGUUCUCUGGUGAAGAAGGAUUGUCAAGAUAGUGUGCUCUACCCGAACGUUGUUAGCUGCCAUCAUAUUAAAUGAGGAUACCACACACUGAGUUGACUUCGCUGUAGCUAUGCAACUAGGCUUGGCAGUGUCUUCAUCGGUUUAAAUUUGGCAAAACAAAUUCAUGUCAUAUUUGAGCAUCUAUUCUGUAUUCUCCAAGGGCGAUUUCUGUAGACAUACCCGGAUCCUUCCGGAUUACCGAAUGGGUUUCGGUGGAUUUUCCCCUUGCCAUCAGGGAUGGGCGUUGUCACUGUUCUCAAGGACUGUCACUUUCGCUUGAGUCUGUCGGAUUUUACAACAAGUUUGCAAGCAAACCUGAAGGUCCCACCGCCGAGUCCAUGAGACGAAACACAAACAAUAUAUUUCAACUACUUGUACCAAACCAACACCAGUGUGCAGACUGUGAUUACUUGAGAUUAUCCUCCCGAAUCUCCAAGUGAAUCUACAGACCCCUGACUCUCGCCUCUAUUUGUUUUUGGCCGGGACAUCCAGGGGAAUCCUUCUGUAAAUUUAAGUAGUUAAUUUUCCGCUCAACGUUCAUUGUUCAAUUGUUUGAUUUAAUUUUGAUUGGAUUUAAUUAUUAAUGAAGUGCAUGGAAUACCGGAUUAUCGUCCAAUAGAGAUUGAUACCCUGGCGGCAGAUGAUGGCGACGACUCAUCCUUUGGAGUUUGCAUCACUUUGGAGAUGGCACGCUAAACACGACACGUUGUUAAGACCGUGCCGACGUGACCAAAUUAAAGGAAGGGGACAACGAAAUGCGAAUGCGACAUUAUACUAGGAUUACCCUACUGCACGGAAACGGGAUUGAAAUCAACAUUGCAGAGAAACUUAGUAAAACCCCCAAUUUGGCUCCCGUGCACACCAUUUUCCCGGAACUGAAGAUGAGAGCUGUCGUCCUAGGCUCACGGAUUCGCAUAAUCACGGCCGCGAAUCGUUUGGGGUUGUACUCUGCAUUGCGUGCGUGCAAUGCAAUUUGUUUCAGGUCCAACUUGCAUCCCAGAUUGACGGAACAAUUCCGGAACCAGCAGACGCUGGUGUGUAGGGUGUCGCUGGAGCGAUUGUUCUAGGACCAAAUAUUCCACCUUCCGGGGUUCCUUGUGACAUGGGCGAACCUGCAUUAACUGCACUUGAUCUUCGAUUUGGAGCAGAGACUACCAAUUGGACCGACCCCUAGCACGUGCGCGCCCUUUUCCUCUGAAGCUAUCGACAGUGGAACGUCAUCAAUCGGCAUGCGGUCGUCGACAGGCCGACAUCAUCAAUAUUUCCUGUUUUAUUUAAUAGUAGGUCAUAGGAGGUAGGGACAGGGAAGUAAAAUCGGAAAUUAUCGACAAGUACCUUUUCCUAUGAAUUUGGUUGAAGGUCACAGCGAAAAAUACGUAAAACUGUCAUGCGACGGAGGUUGGGUGAGAAAGAAACGUGUUACACCAUUAUCAAGUAGGUAGAAUUUCCGCAAGGCUUGAGAAAGGGUGAGAAAAAGUUGUAUAAAAGGAGAGAGGAAAGGCCUCAGACAUCAGUCGAGUGAGCAUCUCCCACACGGUAACAACUGCACCAACUGUAUUCUUCGUCGUAAUACCAAUUCGCAAAUAUGGUUAACUAUGGCGUCGUGCUGCUGCUGGAUGUUGUAUCUGCCUGUGAUGUGCCAGGAUUCAGUCGAUGGUCCUCUGAUGACAGGGUCUUUGAGCUGAGUCUCUACCAGCCACAACUCUACGACCAUUUACUUCACCGAGACUCCCCAGUACUACACCGAAAAGGCCGAAUAUUAAACCACCACGUUCGCUGCCCUAGUUUACUACACCGAGGGACCCAAGUAUGACUCUACUCCGAGCUACUACCUGACAGAGGCUUCUGUUAACUACACCACCAACGCACCCGAGUGCUACACGACAACCUAAGCUGCCCCCAAGUACAACACUGAAGCUCCGACGUACUACACCAUCAAGUCACAACCAGUUCGCAAUCAUGGUUAAUUUUGGUGUCGUGUUGCUGUUGAGGGUCCUAUCGCUUAUAGCGGGUCGACCACUGUGUUCUUCCAAUUCUUAAUCAAAGUGAGUUAUGGCGUCGUGCUCCUGUCGACUGUUGUAUCGUUUAUGGCUGAGUCAACCACUUGUGUACCGAUGUCUCCUGGGUAUGGCGGGUACCUAAUUGCAACGCCGCCGUCUCACUACACACAACAUUAACAUACGCAACGACCUGUUAGGCUCCGAGGCCCCCAAGUACUACACCGAAAGACGGAAUAUUACACAUUCACGUUCGCUGCCCCAGUUUUCUACACCGAGGAACCAAAGUAUUACUCUGCUUCAAGCUACUAUCAAACUGAGGCUCCUGUGCACUUCACCACCAGCAACGCCACUGAUUAUUACACGACAACUAAGGCUGCCCUCCACUACUCCACUGGUGCUCCGAAGUACUACAUCAUCAAGUCACUUAGCUAUCAAGGCCUGAUUGCAAUCAUGGUCAAUUUAGGCGUCGUGUUGCUGUGGGGGUUUAAUCGUUGAUUGCGUGUUGUAUCGUUGCUGGCUGAGUCCACCACUGGUCUACUGAUGUCUCCUGAGGAUGGUGGAGGCGAAAUCGCAGCGCCGUCGCCUAACCACAAGACAACGUGGAUGACAACCAGUUACUACACCAAGGCUUUGGACGACUAGUCGACUACCCUACAACCUACGCUGCUCCAAUUUACUACCUCGAGGCCAAAUAAUGUUACUCCACUCCCAGUUACUACACCGAGGCUCCAGUUUAUUACAUCACCGAGUAACACGCAGAGGAUCCCAAGCACUACACAAACACAUCACCAGAGUACUACACGACUACGUAUGCUGCUCAAGCUGACUACACCAAGGCUUCCAAGUUUUCUCUGCUACCAGCUACUACACCGAGGCCCCACCCUGCCCCUAGCUACACACUCGCAGCUGAGCCGGUCAAGUACUACCCAGCACCUACUUACUGCGCAGAGGCUGCCCUAACUACUACACCAUGAUCUACGCUGCUCCAGGCUACUACACUGAAGCUCUGUUAACUACAAGGCACUCGAGUAUGAAACCACUGCUUCCGCUUCUCCGACCUACUGCACCGAAGUAUUACUCUGCCCCGAAUUACUGCAACAUUAAGGCACUUGCAUAUUACAUCACAACCUACGCUUCCUGCCUACUACAAGAAAGCCUUUAAUGUGAGAUUUAAAAUGUUGUUUUAUGUUCAGAUUUUGUUACAUCUUAAUAAUUAUUGUUAAUUGAAAUUGAUCGUUAGUUUUAAAUGAGCAAACCGGAGAAAAUAAAAUUUUUAAUGCGA
rnacentral:lncRNA from 1 species